CCUCACGCUUGCACAGAGGCAGGUCAUCUCCUGCCCUGGCCCCUCUGCAACACCUACAUUAAACUAGAAAUCAGACCACUCCCGCAGCUUUGGAAACAGUUCCUACAGCCACUGACUGGACGUCUUGGGUCUGCCGGAGGCAGCACCUUCGCGUCCUUCAGGCCAUCUCCUGAGACAGCAGUCGCUGAUGGCCCCGAUGAGGAACAGGGAUCCAGCUCCUGCCUUGGGGCCUGUCAGAGCCUGGGAAGAGGGCUGAGGCCAGGCCCUGCCCAGGCUUUAUUCUACAGCACUGAGCUGGCUGUUAGGUAGCCAUCAACUGCUGAGGCCGUGAUUAGCACUAUCCAGAAUUACACUGCUGGCAUCAGCAGUAAGUAUAACUGAGCAGUGCAAUGACAGUACACUGAAAUAAUACCAAACGUCAAUAAUAAUAAAAUCAAGAAAAAUAUCCCUUUCUUUCA
rnacentral:lncRNA from 1 species